rnacentral:misc_RNA from 1 species
AAGCUACUAUUGCUUCACUGUUCAGCCUUUGGCUAUGAGCAAAUAUGUGAUUUAGUUCAAAGCUGCCGAUCUGAUCAAGUAAGUUCAAGUUUGAAAUGAAGUUAUUUAUCUGUUCUGGAGUCACCAAUGUUGGAGAGUUAGCUCCAACAGCAGCACUGUCAUAUGAACCCCCUCUAACAACAGCAGCAACAGUUGGAUUCUGGAGUGUCCCUUUUUUCUUCAGAGAUGGAAAUCCAGCUGACUUCAAUGUUUUUUCCUCAGAUUCAGAGCCCGAGGAAGUAAAAAAGGAGGAAUCAGA